CCUACGGGAGGCAGCAGUGAGGAAUAUUGGUCAAUGGACGAGAGUCUGAACCAGCCAAGUAGCGUGAAGGAUGACUGCCCUAUGGGUUGUAAACUUCUUUUAUAUGGGAAUAAAACGUUCCACGUGUGGGAUUUUGUAUGUACCAUAUGAAUAAGGAUCGGCUAACUCCGUGCCAGCAGCCGCGGUAAUACGGAGGAUCCGAGCGUUAUCCGGAUUUAUUGGGUUUAAAGGGAGCGUAGGUGGAUUGUUAAGUCAGUUGUGAAAGUUUGCGGCUCAACCGUAAAAUUGCAGUUGAAACUGGCAGUCUUGAGUACAGUAGAGGUGGGCGGAAGUCGUGGUGUAGCGGUGAAAUGCUUAGAUAGCACGAAGAACUCCGAUUGCGAAGGCAGUUCACUGGACUGCAACUGACACUGAGGCUCGAAAGUGUGGGUAUCAAACAGGAUUAGAUACCCCAGUAGUC
rnacentral:rRNA from 1 species